AUUUGAUUUAAUAUAAACAAUAAAUAUUACAAUCCCUUCAUCUGAAAAGCAACAUUAAUUCCAUCGGAAAUCACUUCUUAAAAACAUGGUCAUUUCUUCUUUGUCUGAAGAUUUUGAUUUUGUUCAUUAUAAAAAAGCAACCAAAAGGGAAAAAUAUUAUGAAGGCCGAGACUUGAAAAACGAAAAAAUUGGAAGGUUAAGAAGAGAUCAAAUUUCAAAACAGAAAGAGUUGUUUUGAAGAAUUUAGUACUCGUGAAGUUUUUGAAAUUUCAUCGCCAGAGAUAUGAUGCACUCACUACUUAACAUCAAAACUAAGUGAAUAUGACUAAAAUAGAGAUGUUAUGGGUACGUACGUAGAGGUUUUAGAGACUAAAAUCAAGACCAAGAAUAAACAAAUAGGCUAUGGAAGAUUGUCGCAUUUCUUGAAGAUUGUUUGCAUAUGAUGGUAAUAAACUUGAUUUUGACAGUUCAAUCAUGAAUUCUUUUUUUAUUUCA